rnacentral:rRNA from 1 species
CCGGCACGGGUGAGUAACACGUAUGCAAUCCACCUGUAACAGGGGGAGUAACCCGGAGAAAUCCGGACUAAUACCCCAUAAUAUGGGCGCUCCGCAUGGAGAGCCCAUUAAAGAGAGCAAUUUUGGUUACAGACGAGCAUGCGCUCCAUUAGCCAGUUGGCGGGGUAACGGCCCACCAAGCCGACGAUGGAUAGGGGUUCUGAGAGGAAGGUCCCCCACAUUGGUACUGAGACACGGACCAA